rnacentral:rRNA from 1 species
GAGUAGCGAAAGACGGGUGAGAAUCCCGUCCACCGAUUGACUAAGGUUUCCAGAGGAAGGCUCGUCCGCUCUGGGUUAGUCGGGUCCUAAGCUGAGGCCGACAGGCGUAGGCGAUGGAUAACAGGUUGAUAUUCCUGUACCACCUAGUAUCGUUUUAAUCGAUGGGGGGACGCAGUAGGAUAGGCGAAGCGUGCUGUUGGAGUGCACGUCCAAGCAGUAAGGCUGAGUGUUAGGCAAAUCCGGCACUCAUAAGGCUGAGCUGUGAUGGGGAGAGGAAAUUGUUUCCUCGAGUCGUUGAUUUCACACUGCCGAGAAAAGCCUCUAGAUAGAUAACAGGUGCCCGUACCGCAAACCGACACAGGUAGUCAAGAUGAGAAUUCUAAGGUGAGCGAGCGAACUCUCGUUAAGGAACUCGGCAAAAUGACCCCGUAACUUCGGGAGAAGGGGUGCUCUUUAGGGUUCACGCCCAGAAGAGCCGCAGUGAAUAGGCCCAAGCGACUGUUUAUCAAAAACACAGGUCUCUGCUAAACCGUAAGGUGAUGUAUAGGGGCUGACGCCUGCCCGGUGCUGGAAGGUUAAGAGGAGUGGUUAGCUUCUGCGAAGCUACGAAUCGAAGCCCCAGUAAACGGCGGCCGUAACUAUAACGGUCCUAAGGUAGCGAAAUUCCUUGUCGGGUAAGU